GGGAGUAUAGCUCAGGUGGUUAGAGCGCGGUUCUUAUAAAGCCGUGGUCGAUGGUUCGAGUCCAUCUACUCCCACCA
rnacentral:tRNA from 1 species